rnacentral:lncRNA from 1 species
AAAACUGUUUAAAAUCACCAAUUGACCAAAUUACUUGAAUUUUUUGGAGGUGUUCAUAAACAUGAUAGCCUUGCUUUUAUUACAGCCAUCAUAACCUUAUAUCAAAAGAGAUGAUAACCUUCCAUACUUUGUAAUUUUUAGUUUUGUUGCAUCUACUGGCCUCAUGUGGAACUGCAGAAGGAAAAUGUAUUGUAGACACCUCUCAAUUCCAAUGAUUUCGGUGAAGAUCAAAUGUUUUCAAGUGGCAGUCAAUACCUUGAAGGACUGCAGCCAUUAUAUAGUUAUAUACUAUAAUAGGUCAGUCCUAAGGAUUGAAAUUAUAUAUUAUAUACUAAUAUAUGAUUAACCUUUGUUAUCAUCAAGAUGUGCAAUUGUAUUUUAAAAUUCAUUGGUAUUGCUUUCAUUUUAGAUGACCAGAAAAGCUGGGUCACAAUUACGUAUACUGUCCUCAUGUAUCGCCGAUUUUGCUACAUUCCCUCUCUUUCAACUGCAGAUGCUUCAUGUAUUGAAAGAGAUACAAUGGGCUUUUUAGUCAUGUUACAUCAUAUAAGAUAAAGAAAGGAUUUGCUCCUGUCAGAGAAGGAGACCACCUCAGAGGGUGACAAGCUGUGGACAGAAAGGAACUGUUUUCAAGGUGUUCACCUUGAAAUCACUAUCAAUUCAUGUGCGGUAAUAGCACAUGGGUUGUCAUACCUGAAAUGAACCAUUCUGUAUUACUGUUACGUAAGAGACUUCUGCAAGAACAUGGUAAGAACUGCUGAACUGCAACUUUUAUAGUAAGUUAUCACUCUUUUUUGUUGUAAUUCCAUAGAGUACUACAAUCAGUACUGAAGAAACUGAGCCCAUCAUUGACAGCAGUCCUUUUGCUUAUUUAUAAAAGCAGCCCUCACUGCCCUAUAAAGUGUUCGGCUACCCUGUAUCUCGUAAGUAUUUAGGACCUUUAUCGUCAAGCACUUGGUAUUAAUACACAAUUAUGCAGAGGCAUAAGAUUAUGUGUUUGUGUAUACACACACAUUCCUGAAGACAAAGGCGCUAUGAAAAAAAAAUUGCAUAUCAUUUGCCUUGUUCACCUGCAAGUUACCUUUUCGCUUAUGGAAAGAAUUUAACUUCCACAUCAUGCAGAUGUGAACAAAGAUACGAACAAAAGUCAUGAACGGUACUGCUGCUUACAUUCUCCCAGAUCUAUGGGCAGCAUCUAAGAAAUUUGCUGUCUUACAAAAAGAUCACCCAGAGCAUCCAGUCUUUGAAGUAACUGCAACACAAGAGGAACUAUGCAAAGCUUAAAUAAGGCUUUUUAACUGGAAGAACCUGUAAAAGCAACUUUUGACACACGUGAAUCUAACCAAGAAUCAACCGCUUCACAAUCUGUAUCUGCUUUCUUUUUGUUCAUACAGCUAAUUCUUUGGCUCAGCUACAGUCAGAAUUACAGGUGCAGUUUUCCAUUAAGUUAAUGAAAAUACUUUACAAGGAAUUAAUUUGGCUGCUAAGCUAUAAUAUAUCACGUUCCAAUUAAAUCUGUGGUGAAAGAAGAUGGUGAUUUCGUAAUGACAGGAUUGUGAUUUCACUGUCGGGUCUCUUUAAUAAAUAGAAGCUGGAAACUUUGUUGACUAUUGUA